GUCCACGCUGUAAACGAUGACGACUAGGUGUGGGGUGGUUCAGUCCAUUCCGUGCCGCAGCUAACGCAUUAAGUCGUCCGCCUGGGGAGUACGGCCGCAAGGUUGAAACUCAAAGGAAUUGACGGGGGCCCGCACAAGCGGUGGAGCAUGUGGUUCAAUUCGAUGCAGAGCGAAGAACCUUACCUGGGCUUGACAUGUAGGAAGUAGAAACCCGAAAGGGGGACGACCUGUUAAGUCAGGAGCCUACACAGGUGGUGCAUGGCUGUCGU
rnacentral:rRNA from 1 species